rnacentral:rRNA from 1 species
CCUACGGGAGGCAGCAGUGAGGAAUAUUGGUCAAUGGACGAGAGUCUGAACCAGCCAAGUAGCGUGAAGGAUGACUGCCCUAUGGGUUGUAAACUUCUUUUAUAAAGGAAUAAAACGAGGCACGUGUGCCUUUUUGCAUGUACUUUAUGAAUAAGGAUCGGCUAACUCCGUGCCAGCAGCCGCGGUAAUACGGAGGAUCCGAGCGUUAUCCGGAUUUAUUGGGUUUAAAGGGAGCGUAGAUGGGUUGUUAAGUCAGUUGUGAAAGUUUGCGGCUCAACCGUAAAAUUGCAAUUGAUACUGGCAGUCGUGAGUACAGUUGAGGUAGGCGGAAUUCGUGGUGUAGCGGUGAAAUGCUUAGAUAUCACGAAGAACCCCGAUUGCGAAGGCAGCUUACUAAACUGUGACUGACAUUGAUGCUCGAAAGUGUGGGUAUCAAACAGGAUUAGAUACCCCUAUAGUC